GCUGUUUGCGUGGACACAAUGCAAAGACCUACAAUGCAGACCUACAAUGUUGGUGAAGGGCAAUGGAAGAUUGGUCCUGAGUUCCUUAGUUGGACUGGUGCUUUGGCCAUGACAUCUACUUAUGCAGCACAGUGCAUUACGUGAUAUUACAUUCUGUGUUCAUGUUUCUGCUCUAGGCAGUACUACUCAGUUCAAAAUGUUUGUUGAAUGGUUAACAGGGUAACAAUGCAAUAGAAAGUGCUGGCUCAAGUGAAAGAAAAAAAGAUUUUUGAACCCAAAAUUUGGUUUGUAACGGACUUUUUUCACUCUAAUACACCUGUUCUGGUCUGAUUUUUUUAAUUUUAUAAGACCAUUAGUUCUAGCCCAAAAGUAGUUAUUUUGUAUUUGGCUCUGUAUAUAGCAUCACUUCUUUAAUCCUGUAAGCUUCUGGUAUUUUCUCUCUGACAGAACACCCUUCUCGACCCGGACAAGAUGGGUUACCAAACAGACUGAUGGACUGAUACAGCUCAACAGUUCCUAUUUGAUUGCUUGUGUUUUUUCUUCUAUGGUUUUUUUCCUCUGCUUUAGUUACAAUAUAGUAAACAGGAGUUAGGUGUUCCCUAAGCUUUCCUCACCUUCCAGCAUAACUUGGAAAUUCUAGGAAGUAAAUUGUCUGCAUUAUUUCAAAGCGUUCCCUGCUUCAUGAGUGACAGAGUCACAGUGUGUCUGUUUAUCACUGAAGGAAGCUGACAAGUUCUAAAGGUUGACUUCCUCACUAUCUCUUUUGUGGAACUGUCCAAGAAAUGUGAUUCAUGGGGAAAAAUAGCCUAGGGCUAUGAAGACUGAAAUCACCCCUCCACCCUGGUCCCAGGCCCUGACGUGUUUCUUUCCAGGCUGUUUUGAGGAGUUGAACGUCUCCCCUAUAUUUUGUUCAGAGAUUUGUUCUAUAAUUGUGGCUCUUACACCAUAAACUAGCAAAUAAAUUGUGACAGACAGACCUUGGGUAAUUUUAGUAGGAAACUUCAAAAUACAGAAGAAAUAUAAAAAAGGCGUUGCAAAAUAACCUGAUCUAUUGAUAAUAUAUGGUAAGAUUUUUAAAAUAAAAAGCAUAUAGAGUAAAAUAUAAGAGACAAGUAAAUUGCCUUGUCUGUUUAUUGCACUUGAACCUUCUGUUGCCAUUAGAAGUGAAAUGCACAUUGCUAUAAAACCAGUCUUGUUAAGCAGGGAAACACAACUAGCUACAGAGAAGGAAGAUUUCCCAUCUCCCUUGAUUUUUUGAUGUGACAAACUAGCUUGACUGCAUCAAUGAACUGACUCACUAAGAAAAUAUGUGUCAUGUUCCUCACAUAAAUGCUUUCCCUCUAGUAAAUCUCUUUUGCCUCUCUCAGAGUCCUAAAUUAUGCUGAGUUAAUAGUUAUCUGAAGAGAGUGAAUGAAAAAGGCAAGCCUCAGCUGUUGUUGUGUACUAAGCUGAUGUCCACCUAGGUGCAUCAUUUAUUGCUGCCAGGAAGAGGUCCAGUGAUUCAGUACCUCUCUUUCAAAGCUAGAUCAACUUUGUACUCUUUGUAAAUGAGGUACACUUGCACCAGGUGGGCACACCACGAUGUUGCAUGAGUGCUGUUUGUAUUUCUCUGUGGUUAAAGAGCAGUUUGACUAAUGAUUCCAGUAGUUUGGUAGCCUUUAUCAGAUAAAAAAGCCAUGAAAAAUCCCAGUGGCCACUUACAUUAUCCCACUAGAUGGUACAUUCAAAGGAUACCUCUGGGACCAAAUAAAUAAAAACAAGUGAAGAAUAUCUGUAAGGAAAAACAGCAACAAACUUGAAUGUAAUGAAAACAGAAAAUGAGUUAGUUGCUACUUAAUGUUUUCAUAUCAUAAUUCUAGGUCAUUGCACAUCCAAGCUUUUUUAGCCUGUUGAAACAUGAUACUUUGUCUUAAACUUCUUAGUUUUAAUUUCACCACUAUUCAUCUGCUAACUAGUAAAUCGAGAGAGAUUUUUUUUAACCUAUAUCUUGUUGGAGAAGUAAGUCAGAGAUGUUUGGGUGGAGUGAGGAGGGCUAUUAU